CUGGAUGGUUCCGCGGCGCAUUAGCUUGUUGGUGGGGUAACGGCUCACCAAGGCGAUGAUGCGUAGCCGACCUGAGAGGGUAAUCGGCCACAUUGGGACUGAGACACGGCCCAGACUCCUACGGGAGGCAGCAGUAGGGAAUCUUCCACAAUGGACGCAAGUCUGAUGGAGCAAUGCCGCGUGAGUGAAGAAGGGUUUCGGCUCGUAAAACUCUGUUGUUGAAGAAGAACGGGUGUCAGAGUAACUGUUGACAUCGUGACGGUAUUCAACCAGAAAGCCACGGCUAACUACGUGCCAGCAGCCGCGGUAAUACGUAGGUGGCAAGCGUUGUCCGGAUUUAUUGGGCGUAAAGCGAGCGCAGGCGGUUUCUUAAGUCUGAUGUGAAAGCCUUCGGCUUAACCGAAGAAGUGCAUCGGAAACUGGGGAACUUGAGUGCAGAAGAGGACAGUGGAACUCCAUGUGUAGCGGUGGAAUGCGUAGAUAUAUGGAAGAA
rnacentral:rRNA from 2 species